AAUCCCAGCUAAAGACAUGAACCCACUCAAAUGUCUAUGCCCCUAAGUAUCUUAAUUAACAAACAAACAACAACAAAAAAGUAUGUUCUCAUCAGUACAGAGAUGAGACUUGCGGCCCUUGCACAGCUGGUUAUGGAAAGAACACAUUCUCCGUAAUUUCCGAAGAAUCCAUGUCCUGUCUCUUGGAAAGUCAGAGGUUCUAUCAAGAAAUGGAAUUUCAUCUCUUCUGCAAAACCACUGGUUCUAUCAAGAAAUGGAAUUUCAUCUCUUCUGCAAAACCACUGGUGAAUGUACUGUACAUCUCACCGUGGAUAUUCAUUCCUAGGAAAUCCCACAAGACUGUAUCCAGAGACUUCACGUGUGGAAUGACAACCCUUCAGCUUCAUUACUCGGGUGAGACCUUUCCUUUUAUAGUACACUCUAAUCUCAUCUCAGGUAGUUCACUUUCUAACAAAGUCCCAUAACCUAGAUAUACACCAGUUUCUG